rnacentral:rRNA from 1 species
GACGAACGCUGGCGGCGUGCUUAACACAUGCAAGUCGAACGAUGAAGUUCCUUCGGGAAUGGAUUAGUGGCGAACGGGUGAGAAACACGUGAGAAACCUGCCUUUCAUUUUGGGAUAACUCCGGGAAACCGGAGCUAACACCGAAUACUCCGCCUCGGCGGCAUCGCUGAGCCGGGAAAAAAUUAUGAUGAAAGAUGGUCUCGCGGCCUAUCAGCUAGUUGGUGAGGUAAUGGCUCACCAAGGCGACGACGGGUAGCCGGCCUGAGAGGGCGGCCGGCCACACUGGGACUGAGACACGGCCCAGACUCCUACGGGAGGCAGCAGUGGGGAAUAUUGGGCAAUGGGCGCAAGCCUGACCCAGCGACGCCGCGUGAGGGAUGAAGGCCUUCGGGUUGUAAACCUCUUUCAGUAGGGAAGAAGCGAAAGUGACGGUACCUAAAGAAGAAGCACCGGCUAACUAUGUGCCAGCCGCCGCCGUAA